UGAUAUCUCAUCUCGCCGCCCGUCGCGAGGCGGACGGAGGAUGGAUGAGGUUACCUGGAAAAAAUCGGGGCGAUCUAGGCGGGCGAACCUCGCCAACGAACGAUCGGACAUGGGGAUAACGGAAGAGGGCGUCGGCUCGACUUCGUCGGUUCCUCGGGCCGAGGCACGUACGGUGAAUAGGGACGGUCGGGGCCGCCCGUACCGGGUCGUGAGAGGUGAAAUUCUAGGAUCGACCCGAGACGAACCGCCGCGAAAGCAUUCGGCAAGGACGCUUUCAUUAAUCAAGAACGAAAGUCGGGGGAUCGAAGACGAUCAGAUACCGUCGUAGUCCCGACCGUAACGAUGCCGACCGAGGGCCCGGAGGAGUUACGUACGACCCUCCGGGCCCUCCCGCGAGAAAUCAGGAGUAUUCGGGUU
rnacentral:rRNA from 1 species